UAAAAUGUGGUGAGAAUUUGUUCAUGGCAAAUUACCCUGCAUCGUGGUCUUCUGUAAUCCAAGAUUGGUAUGAUGAAUCCCUUGAUUUUGUCUUUGGUUUCGGCCCAAAAAAAGUUGGUGUUAAAGUCGGACACUAUACUCAGGUUGUUUGGAAUUCAACUUUCCUGGUUGCAUGUGGAGUUGCUGAAUGCCCUGACCAACCAUUGAAAUACUUUUAUGUUUGUCACUAUUGUCCUGGCCAAUAGUUGUGAAUAUGAAGAUAAUUAUUCUAACUGUGGCGAUCUGAAGAAGAUGGUGAGCUGCGACGAUCCACUUCUUAAAGAAGGUUGCAGAGCUUCAUGCUUCUGUGAAGACAAAAUUCAUUAAAUUUCCAGUCCACAUAAUCAGGUCCAUGUAGAAAAGGAAAAUACCCUCUACUUAGUCUUACCAUGUCUGGUUGCUUCAGAAAAAAAAUAAAUCUUAAUCUCAGC
rnacentral:lncRNA from 1 species